rnacentral:sRNA from 1 species
AUGUAUCUUGUACACGCCGGUUCCUCCGCGCCGCCCGCACCACAUGACGACUGCUCGCGACGUGUUGUUAGCG